AACGCACCUUGCGCUCCUUGGUAUUCCGAGGAGCAUGCCUGUUUGAGUGUCAUUAAUAUAUCAACUUCAUCAACCUUGUUGAGUGAGUGUUGGAUGGUGGGGGUUGUUUUGUUGGCCUUUUGAAAGACAAAGGUCAACUCCCCUAAAAUGUAUUAGCAGAACAUUUUGGUUGACCAUUUGCUGGUGUGAUAACUAUCUACGCUAUUGAUGGUAAGGCCAAGUUCAGCUUCUAGCAGCCCAUUAAGUUGGACAUUUUUUAUCAUCAAUGUGACCUCAAAUCAGGUAGGACUACCCGCUGAACUUAA
rnacentral:misc_RNA from 1 species